rnacentral:rRNA from 1 species
UACGGAAGGCAGCAGUGGGGAAUAUUGCACAAUGGGCGAAAGCCUGAUGCAGCUAUGCCGCGUGUAUGAAGAAGGCCUUAGGGUUGUAAAGUACUUUCAUCGGGGAGGAAAAAACAAAACUAAUAAUUUUAUUUCUUGACGUUACCCGAAAAAGAAGCACCGGCUAACUCCGUGCCAGCAGCCGCGGUAAUACGGAGGGUGCUAGCGUUAAUCAGAAUUACUGGGCGUAAAGAGCACGUAGGUGGUUUUUUUAAGUCAGAUGUGAAAUCCCCUGGGCUUUAACCUGGAACUGCAUUUUGAAACUGAAAUACUAGAGUAUCGUAGAGGGAGGUAGAAUUCUAGGUGUAGCGGUGAAAUGCGUAGAUAUCUGGAGGAAUACCUGUGGCGAAAGCGGCCUCCUAAACGAAUACUGACACUGAGGUGCGAAAGCGUGGGGAGCAAACAGGGAUUAGAUACC